GUUUCCCAACAAAAUGGCGACACGUGUCGCCAUCGAAAAAUUGGGCCGGGUCUGAAAGCUCUAGAAUGUGCCUUUCAUCAGUCUCAGAAUUUCCCAUAGGAUGAAACAGCAAGAGAGCAAGACAAUCCCAGAGAGAUGAAUGAAGUGAAUGACCCAAGGUUACACAGGAUGGAACCUAUAUCUUCUGAUUUCUCUACUGGCCUGCACUCCACGUUCUGAGGAGGAGUCCUUGAAGCUACUGAGAUAAUGGAACAAUGGAGUAGAUAGUCCAUUAUAACUCAUCUGGGAUUCUUCUCAACUUCAAGUGACCACAGGUGGAAACAUGGUCUGGUAACACCACGCUUCCGGAUGUGAUUGUGGAGCUGGAUUGCUUAACCUGGGCUAAGUCAUUUAUCUUCCUGUGUCCCUCAGUUCUUCAUGGGCUGCAGAAGUGUUAAGAGUGCCUGCUUGUCUUCGAGAGGACCAGAGAUCAAUUCCCAGCAUCCAUCCCUGGAAGCUACAGGGAAUUCAACACUCUUCCUGACUUCCUCAAACACCUGCACACAUAUGGCUUAUAGACACACAGGGAAAGAAGUAAAGGAAAUCUUAAAAACA
ensembl:antisense 1600020E01Rik RIKEN cDNA 1600020E01 gene